AACAAGUAAUUGAGAUUUAAACAAAGUCAAACUUUUUAAUAUUUUAAGUUAAAAUUAUGAGAUACUAAUUUGUUUGUUUUUUUUACUUUGUGGGUCAAAUUUGGAGACAGGAAGUAAAAUGAUUUACUUUCAAAGUAAAACACUGUGACACUGGAUAGUGAAAAGUUUGACCGUCAAAGUCAAAGUUCAGAGAUAAUAAAUCAAAAAUGUCACUUUCAAAGUGAAAAUUUUGAUAUUCUUACUUUGUUAUUUAAAAUUACGUCACAAAUUUAUUUUCACUUUGUCAAAAUGUUUAAAGUUUUACUAUGUAAUGUUCAUUCUGUCAUAAUAUCAAAGUGUUGGACAGAAACAACAACAUUCUGGUGAUUUAGAGUCUUAUAAUAGAGGAGCUAGAAGUAUAAAGUUUGACCUGAUGGUGGCGCUACAGGAAAGGUCGUGUGUUCAUCCUCUGGAGAGACUUCAGGACAGUGAUAACCAAACAGCUGAAUUAUUUACGAGAUCAUCAGUAAGAACAGACCUGCACAGAUACAACAGGAUCCGGUUUGGUGUGUUUGGAGCUUAAAUACCAGAAAAAUGUCAAAGUUUUUGAGCCACAAAAUAGCAAAAUUAAGGAAUAAAGUCUCAGAUAUCUUGUGAAGUGAAUAUUCAGGUGAGCGCUUCCUGUCAUCAGGAGCAGAUGUGUGUGUGGGGGCGGAGCCUGGUAACACCUGUUCAGCAGGUAAGAGACACCUGGCACCUGUUGUUGUGACUCUCAGCACCAUGGCAACACCAGACAGCUGCAUCCCAAACUAUGAAAGUUUCAGUAAUUAAGAGUCAGAGUAGUUUUCAUUAUGUUGACGUUCACCUCGUGCAGGUAAGGAGGUGUGUGUGUGUGUGUGUGUGUGUGUGUGUGUGUGUGAGAGCUGUAUUUAUACAUAUAUAUUAUACUUAUAUCAACUUGUUUGUGUAAGAAAGCUAGAAAAUUCUACACAGUUUAUCCUCUAGAGGGUCGAUAUUUAUGUAUAGAACAUAAUUAAUCUUUCACAUAAAAUACAGUGUAAACACAAGUCAACAUAAGUUCUUUUGAUAUAUUUUAUAUGUCAUAAUUUUUCUUUAAUAUAAUAUAAUACUGCAGAUUAAUCAACUUGUGUAUCAUUGCAAUAUGCAACAUCCAGGAAUAAAGAGCGAAUGUUAACGUCUGCUGUGUGUUAGACGUUGUUGUAAGAAAGUCACAUGACGAGUGGAAGUUUUUUGCAAAACUAAUGUUUAAAUGUAACGUUGUCUGAUGUCAUCAGCAUGUUAACAUGAAGGUCUUGAUAAAGGGUUUGGUUGCUAACGUUAGCAUCGUUGCAGCUGCGGAUCCGUCUGUCGUUCAAGUUAUUUUCAUCUCGCCAGACGUCAAACGACAUAAAAUGUGCAAAGUCUUUCAUUUGUCUGAGUCUUUCUUUCACACUAAACGUUUUUAGGGAGUUUUAUCUGUUACGUCCCUGAAGGAUCUUCAUCUCUUCCUGAUGGCGGUCGUGGGGUCGUCGGACCUUCUGAAAUCAUUUGGAUUAGUUCUUUAGUAAAGCAGACUGUUCUAUAACCGUCUGAUAGUUGUUGAGAAACAGACAUCAGCCUCCAGAAAGCGACAUCACCGCUAUGACUGACAAUCCAAACUUUAAAAAUAGAUCAUAUUUAACCCUGACACUCAGGUUCUCCAGCAGAGAGAGCAUCCUGGUCAUUAAUGUUCAUUUUGAGGUGAAAAACUCCAUAUUACAGCGUUAAUGUGGCCUUGAACAGUCUUGUUAUCAAAGCUCAGAGAAGAGAAAUGUUGCCGGGUCAUUAUCAUGGACGACCACCUCUCAGAGAUGAGAGAGUCGACUCUCGGUUUCCCCUCGAUGGCAAUUAGACGAGUGUGAUGGGAUGAACUUCACUGUUUUAGCCGAGAGCGAAAACUCUGCUGUCAGGCUGCUGCUGACAACCAGACGAGAGAGGAAUCAAAUAAAUCUGCAGCUCGGCUCCGUUUAAUCCACUCUGAGAGACACAAAUACUGAAGGAAGGAGCUUUUACUGCAGUACAAGUAUCAGUACUACAACAGAGAAAUACCUUUAAAACUAUUCAACUAUUAUUAUGUGUGACGUGUUCCUUUAUUACCAUGAACACACACACACUGGAGUUUAGAAAUACUCACAAUGUGGAUUCAUCCGCCACUGAAAAUAGUCCCCAACAAACGAUGGUGAAAACUGUUGUUUUUAAUAAGCUGUUUAAAGGAAGUGAAACUGUAUAUGUGUGAUACAUCAUCUUCAGUAUGAAAUACAAAAUAACACCAGACACAUAAUUAAAAGUCUUCAGUAACAGCAAAUAUUUUUCUGUUUUAUUGUUUUAUUCUAUUCUGA